GACGAACGCUGGCGGCGUGCCUAAUACAUGCAAGUCGAACGCAGUGGGGACGGGUGAGUAACACGUGGGUAACCUCCCAUCAGAGGGGAUAACACUUGGAAACAGGUGCUAAACCGAUACUGAUGGAUGGACCCGCGGUGCAUUAGCUAGGUGGUGAGGUAACGGCUCACCAAGGCCACGAGGCAUAGGCGAGCUGAGAGGGAGAUCGGCCAAACUGGGAAUGAGAAACGGCCCAGAAUCCUGCGGGAGGCAGCCGUAGGGAAUCUUCGGCAAUGGACGGAAGUCUGAACGAGCAACGCCGCGGGAGUGAAGAAGGUGUUCGGAGCGUAAAGCUAUGUUGUUAGAGAAGCGGUAACUAACCAGAAAGGGACGGCUAACUACGUGCCAGCAGCCGCGGUAAUUC
rnacentral:rRNA from 1 species